rnacentral:rRNA from 1 species
UACGUAGGGGGCGAGCGUUGUCCGGAAUCAUUGGGCGUAAAGAGCUCGUAGGCGGUUCAGUAAGUCAGGUGUGAAAGCUCCGAGCUCAACUCGGAGAGGCCACCUGAUACUGCUGUGACUAGAAUCCAGUAGGGGAGUGUGGAACUCCUGGUGUAGCGGUGAAAUGCGCAGAUAUCAGGAAGAACACCAGCGGCGAAGGCAGCUCGCUGGGACGGUACUGACGCUGAGGCGCGAAAGCGUGGGGAGCAAACAGG